rnacentral:rRNA from 1 species
GACGAACGCUGGCGGCGUGCCUAAUACAUGCAAGUUGAGCGAUGAAGAUUGGUGCUUGCCCCAAUUUGAAGAGCAGCGAACGGGUGAGUAACGCGUGGGGAAUCUGCCUUUGAGCGGGGGACAACAUUUGGAAACGAAUGCUAAUACCGCAUAAUAACUUUAAACAUAAGUUUUAAGUUUGAAAGAUGCAAUUGCAUCACUCAAAGAUGAUCCCGCGUUGUAUUAGCUAGUUGGUGAGGUAAAGGCUCACCAAGGCGAUGAUACAUAGCCGACCUGAGAGGGUGAUCGGCCACAUUGGGACUGAGACACGGCCCAAACUCCUACGGGAGGCAGCAGUAGGGAAUCUUCGGCAAUGGACGAAAGUCUGACCGAGCAACGCCGCGUGAGUGAAGAAGGGUGUCGGAUCGUAAAACUCUGUUGGUAGAGAAGAACGUUGGUGAGAGUGGAAAGCUCAUCAAGUGACGGUAACUACCCAGAAAGGGACGGCUAACUACGUG